GAUGAACGCUGGCGGCGUGCCUAAUACAUGCAAGUCGAGCGAACGGACGAGAAGCUUGCUUCUCUGAUGUUAGCGGCGGACGGGUGAGUAACACGUGGAUAACCUACCUAUAAGACUGGGAUAACUUCGGGAAACCGGAGCUAAUACCGGAUAAUAUUUUGAACCGCAUGGUUCAAAAGUGAAAGACGGUCUUGCUGUCACUUAUAGAUGGAUCCGCGCUGCAUUAGCUAGUUGGUAAGGUAACGGCUUACCAAGGCAACGAUGCAUAGCCGACCUGAGAGGGUGAUCGGCCACACUGGAACUGAGACACGGUCCAGACUCCUACGGGAGGCAGCAGUAGGGAAUCUUCCGCAAUGGGCGAAAGCCUGACGGAGCAACGCCGCGUGAGUGAUGAAGGUCUUCGGAUCGUAAAACUCUGUUAUUAGGGAAGAACAUAUGUGUAAGUAACUGUGCACAUCUUGACGGUACCUAAUCAGAAAGCCACGGCUAACUACGUGCCGGCAACCGCGGUAAUACGUAAGUGGCGAGCGUUAUCCGGAAUUAUUGGGCGUAAAGCGCGCGUAGGCGGUUUUUUAGUCUGAUGUGAAAGCCCACGGCUCAACCGUGGAGGGUCAUUGGAAACUGGAAAACUUGGGUGCAGAAGAGGAAAGUGGAAUUCCAUGUGUAGCGGUGAAAUGCGCAGAGAUAUGGAGGAACACCAGUGGCGAAGGCGACUUUCUGGUCUGUAACUGACGCUGAUGUGCGAAAGCGUGGGGAUCAAACAGGAUUAGAUACCCUGGUAGUCCACGCCGUAAACGAUGAGUGCUAAGUGUUAGGGGGUUUCCGCCCCUUAGUGCUGCAGCUAACGCAUUAAGCACUCCGCCUGGGGAGUACGACCGCAAGGUUGAAACUCAAAGGAAUUGACGGGGACCCGCACAAGCGGUGGAGCAUGUGGUUUAAUUCGAAGCAACGCGAAGAACCUUACCAAAUCUUGACAUCCUUUGACAACUCUAGAGAUAGAGCUUUCCCCUUCGGGGGACAAAGUGACAGGUGGUGCAUGGUUGUCGUCAGCUCGUGUCGUGAGAUGUUGGGUUAAGUCCCGCAACGAGCGCAACCCUUAAGCUUAGUUGCCAUCAUUAAGUUGGGCACUCUAAGUUGACUGCCGGUGACAAACCGGAGGAAGGUGGGGAUGACGUCAAAUCAUCAUGCCCCUUAUGAUUUGGGCUACACACGUGCUACAAUGGACAAUACAAAGGGCAGCGAAACCGCGAGGUCAAGCAAAUCCCAUAAAGUUGUUCUCAGUUCGGAUUGUAGUCUGCAACUCGACUACAUGAAGCUGGAAUCGCUAGUAAUCGUAGAUCAGCAUGCUACGGUGAAUACGUUCCCGGGUCU
rnacentral:rRNA from 1 species